GUUGCCCCGCGGAGUCCUUAGCAGCACCUCUUUCGCCCAUUUCUCUAGUACUAAUGGUGGGAUAAGAUCAAUUCAAAGACAGAAGAUUGUGCAUGGAAUCUCCUAUCCGUCAAUUUGAUUAAUCUGGCAAGGAAGUGUUGCAGAUUGCAUCAGAGCAGUCACUUAUUAUAUUGCUUUCCACCUAGUGCUUGGAGUUUUGACUGACAUAUCUAAUGACCUGGACAGGAUUUCCUGAUGGAUAAACUGUAGAUUGACAGCGUUUCAUUCAGAGUCAUUUCUAUAGCCCAUGGCUUUCUAGAAAACUGCUGUGAAGCUCUUCCUUUUCAGUGACUGCACCACAACAGUGCCAACAAAAUGCAGAAGCAAGUGGAAAUCAGAAUGCACGAGAAUCAUCUGGACCCUCCUCCACUGCCUGAAGAGUCCAUGUGUGGAGGCUUCUGUGACAAAAUCACCAAGAAUCUCAUACUCGUGCUCACAGUUCUUGGUGUGAUCGUUGGUUCAGUAGCUGGUAUUCUACUGCGGUAUGCAUCCCCACUCCCCGCUGAUGUCAUUAUGGUCAUCGCCUUCCCGGGUGACAUUCUCAUGAGGAUGUUAAAAAUGGUGAUUUUGCCUCUGAUCAUCUCAAGUUUGAUCACAGGUUUAGCAGGGUUGGAUGCCAAGUCGAGUGGUCGUCUAGGCACAAGGGCCAUGGUGUAUUACAUGUCAACCACCAUCAUUGCAGCUGUGCUGGGGGUCAUCUUGGUGCUCCUCAUCCACCCCGGUAACCCCAAACUGAAGGCAAACCUCGGUGAGGGGAAAAAGAACGACGAAGUGUCCAGUUUAGAUGCCUUCUUUGAUCUCAUCAGAAAUCUGUUUCCAGAAAAUCUUGUUCAGGCUUGUUUUCAGCAGAUCCAGACUGUUAGUAACAAGGUCGAAGUAAGUCCUCCUCCACAUCUAAACCGGUUUGGACGAAAUGCAACCAAGAGCGCAGCAAAAUAUGUGAUUAAGAAGUCUCUUCAAUUCAAGAGUGGCAUGAAUGUUUUAGGUCUCAUUGGGUUCUUUGUGGCAUUUGGGAUUUGCAUGGGAAAGAUGGGAGAAAAGGCCAAGCUGAUGCUUGAGUUCUUCAACGUUCUCAACGAGAUCGUUAUGAGGCUUGUCGGCAUGAUCAUGUGGUAUUCCCCCUUCGGCAUUGCGUGUUUGAUCUGUGGCAAGAUCAUUUCCAUUAACGAUUUGGAAAUGGUGGCCAGGCAGCUGGGAAUGUACAUGCUCACUGUCAUCAUUGGGCUUAUUAUUCACGGAGGCAUAUUCCUUCCCUUAAUAUAUUUUGUUAUUGUUCGGAAAAACCCAUUCACGUUCUUCAUGGGAGUUUUCCAGGCGUGGGUCACCGCCUUAGGAACAGCUUCAAGUGCUGGGACAUUACCUGUUACUUUCCGCUGUCUGGAGGAAAAUCUGGGCAUUGACAAGAGAGUGACUCGUUUUGUAUUACCUGUUGGAGCCACAAUCAACAUGGAUGGUACAGCACUUUAUGAGGCUGUAGCGGCCAUCUUUAUCGCCCAGAUGAAUGGAAUAGAACUUGAUCCUGGUCAGAUUGUGACAGUCAGCCUGACGGCGACUCUCGCUAGCGUAGGAGCAGCCAGUAUCCCCAGUGCUGGCCUGGUGACGAUGCUUCUGAUCUUGACUGCUGUGGGUCUACCGACUCAAGACAUCAGUUUACUGGUAGCAGUCGACUGGCUGCUUGAUCGUUUCCGAACAUCAGUCAAUGUUGUUGGUGACUCGUACGGGGCGGGAAUCGUGUACCACCUCUCCAAGGAUGAGCUUGACCUGUUCGAUGCACAGCAGAUAAGACCAGAUGACUUUGAGAUGACCAAGACACAAUCCUUUUUUGAGAAUAACACUAACCACGGUGUAUAUUCAUCUCACAACUCCUAUCAGCCGGUCCAAAUAGAUGACUGCAAGGUACAUUUUACUCUCACUGACAUAGAAACCUGUAUGUAGCUGCUUUCAUUUCUUUCCCCAAUAUUGUAUGUACCACUUGUGUUUUUUUUUUUUUUUACACUUUUGUAUUUUUUGGUCAUUCCUGACGUGAAUGCAUAAUACAUUAAACAGAAUGAAGGAAUAAAUAAAUAUGGUUUAUUUAUUUGUUCUGGUACUUGGUGAAAUAGCAGUUUUUGUACAAACUUUGUUUAUUCAUAUCAGUCUGCAUAUCAUCAGUUUGGCAACUAUAUACAUGUGAACAGUAAAUCCUUCAAAUGUCUGUAUAGUACUAAUGCCAAGAUGCCUUUGGCUGUUCUCAACCCAAAAAAAAAAAAAAAGUGAAACAAAGCAGUGUGUUAAUGCACAUAUCAUUUUUACCAUCUACAUUUUGAGACAACAAAGGCUGCUAUUUCAUUUCUUUCAAGCUCAGAGUUUUUUAAGCUUGACAGAAAAGUGAUUGUUUUCCAAAACUGCAGUUGUUUUCUUUCUUUUUUGGUGAAUUUUAUGCCUCUUUUUGACCCUGUGUUUCACAAAUGUAUAGGUCUGUGUGGUAGCACGCGUGGCACUAUUUCACAAACCCUUUAGAAGAUUAGCUUUGGGCAGAGAUUCACUGUAAUUAGUAAAAAUAAAUGAAUAAAUACAAAGUAUAUAUUUAUAAAAUAUAAUAAUUCAAAUGAUUUUCUCCAUCUGUAUUCAGUCUUUCAGCAUUCUGUAAGGAAUCCUGCUGCAGCUAAUUAUUUUCUGUCUUGUGGUAACCUUGGCCUCAAAUGGCUCCCCUGCGGACUUCUCACUUGUUGAGGAGGAACCAUGGAUACGCGAGUAACACAGCACACAGAUCCAGCUCCGCCUUAUCCUGAGUCCCGCAAGCUUAUCCUUUCUGGUGAAAACCAAAUGCUAAUUUUGUACAUAUAAACAGUCCGAAGUUACCACAGAACAUUUCAUAUGCACCAGCAUUGACUUUUGUAUGACAAUCUCAGUACAUUUGAUACACAAAGGGAAGAUAGCGUAGCUUAAAGUAGCGGGUAGUUCAUUUGCGAUAGAGAACAGGCUACAUUUUGAGUUGUUAUUAUUUAUACUCAAGGAUUACGGUAGUUAGAAUUCUAGGCCUUGGGUUUGACAAUUGUUCUGAAACCUGCUGCCUUAAGGCUUCUGCAUAGAAGGAUCGCAUUGGUUUGUCCAGCCCCAGAUUGACCCUAGAGCGCUAUAGUGGCAGGAGGAGAGAAGUGCAGCUUGUUUGCUGAAGAUACCUUUGACUGGCGCAGCUUAGGUGGAUUAACCCUUGGUGGCAGCACUCCCGAUCAGCCUCUUAUAAGAGCUUACCAGUGUACUUAGAGGUUCUGAAAUAGUGGUUUGCCUCCAAAUGCUGCCACUUAUUUUUAGACGCUGCCCGACGUAAAUGCCACGUCAGCAAUUACAGAGCAAUCAGACAUGAAGUAUGACAUUGAGUCAAUUGACGUCAUCUGCAAGGACUGUUGGGUUUAAAAUCCGGCAUAGUGGACUGAAUAGUAUUCAUUCAGACUUAAUAAUAAGUCUCCAUGCGUGUUUAUGUUUGAGGGAAGGGACUUGCAUGUGUUUAGGUUUUGUAUGUAUCUGUGUGCUUUGUUAAGUUGUUGAUUUAUUUGUGUGUUUAUUUGCUAAGUUACAAUCUUGCCUUGAAGAUUUCAACUGCAAGCUGCAGACAGAAGACUUUACGACAUUAAUAUUAAAUGCAAUCCCGUUUUCUUGGAUCUUAGACCAGUAACAAUGUUUAAAUCUCUGAGGAGCCUUCUUGGAUACACAGAUAUUAUGUCCAGUUGAAUGGAUUCUAUAUUCUCGCUGUUAAGAGAGGCCCUCAAGUUAUUUGGUGCUCAGGUUGUUAGCAUUUAACAGAAAAGAGAUGACCGGACUGAGAUCUAUCAUUACAUUUGCACCAUUUAUUUGGUAGUCUGUUAUUACUUUCAUAGCAACACGAGCAUUCAGCAUAUUCAGCAGAUUCUCUUUUGUACCAGAAUCUUCAAAUGUUCUCAUUAAAGUGCCUCCUUGCACUUUCUGUAUACAAAUAAAUACACAUAUGUAUGUGGUUCUAUUUUAGAUAUAUAUCUCAUGCAAAUUCAAAAUGUAGAAUUUCAUUUCUUUUUGCACAUUGUUUUAUAAAACAAUGGCAAUCCAUGUAUUCAAUUCCAUAUUUUACUAGGUAGAUUAGAAUGUAACAGGUUGUCUUAAGUAGUUAAUGCUAUAAUACAGUACAAGUCACAGGGAACUUGCUGUGAACUGUGGCUUUGAAACAUUGAUUGAUGAGAUCAAAUGUAUGUAUAUUAAUGUAAGCGUAUUUUUCACUGUUACAAUUCAUGAUGAUAUUGUAUCUCAAAUAUUGUGUAUUGUUAUACAUUCUAAGGAAUAAUGGCACUAGGGGAAAAAGUCAAAUUACUAAUUAUUUUAAACUAGGCUUGUUACAGAUUUAACAGCCUUGUAGAGUGCAGAAAUCUCUAGUAUGUAUCUUAUGGAAAUAGAUACAGCCUAGAUACAGUAUCUAUAAUGUAAAAGUGUGCACUGUUGGAAUAUCUGUUCAGGCAGGGCCUGACAAAUAUGUAAAGGUACAGUGAUUUGUGUUAACACGUAUUGAAUGAUCAUCCUGCUUUUUUAAAAUUAUGUCAGCCAUGUUUGGUUUCAAAGAUAUUGUAUUACUUGUCUACCAAACUUGAUUUUGCAUCCACUUUUCAAAUUUGUCUUUUUCCUCUAUUUUUCUAUGAAACACCUGUGAGAAAAUGUAAAUAAAGUCAAUGCUUCUUGUCUCA